rnacentral:lncRNA from 1 species
GCAGGACAGGCAUCCAGUGUUGUGCACUUGGAUUUUACUAUCAUGCGGGAUCAAUAUUUACCUCCCUCAUCCUGGCAACCACUCCACUGCCCUAUCCCCAAACUCCCCACUAACUGUUUGAGGUGCACAGACAGCAGCAGAGGCAAUCAGCACCACAGGCCUUCCCCUGUUAGAAGCGGACAGGCAUGACAAGUGGAAGAUGUACCUAAUUAAGAAGCUAUUUGCUUCCAGAAAAUGAGCUUCCAAGUGACGAGGAGGCAGAACUGAGGAAGAGGAAAGAAGGGAAAGUAGGGACAGUGCCAGGGUCUCUGGGAAGAAGUGACUUCUUUGGGGAAGUUAGAGCUGAGAAGGUCCGACACAAGCUCCCCUGCUCAGAUGCCCCAGGACUCCUAGGAACUAGCACCCAGGCAGGGCCAAUCAGCAUCUGGAAUUCUGGAGAACAGGACCUGGGAACAUGGAGCCAUCAGUGUGAGGCUGCCACCUGGGGACGGCCACUCCCACAGGAGGAAAAUGCACUGAGAGUGGCCUGGGUUGCAAAUCUCACUUCGGAGCAGGAGCAGUAACUAGUUGCUGACUUGGACUCAAACAAGCCCAGACGAAUGGCAAAAGGUGGAGAGUAGCUCCGCCAUGAGAGACCCCAGCAGGGGAGGGACUGAAGGAGCUUCUUUUGGCCUCUCUGGAAAGGUUAAGGUCUCAUGGCUAUACCACAUGGCCUUGUCCCAUCCUUGCAGCUACCACUGGCCUGCGUUUCUCAGACGACAGAGCACGUCAGAGGUGAUUGGGGCUCCCCUCUGGGUGUGGAGUCCGCCCGCCACAUUCUUUCCAAAUGUUCCCCUUCACUGUGUUGGUCACAUCCUGUGGGGCCCAAGAAGCCUGGAGACGUGGUUUAGGAAGUGACAUGAGAGCCUGGCAUCCAGGGCACACUCCACCCUGCUCUCCUUGGGAUAUUCCACUUCCUGGGCCCCAUCCCCCAGUGUUGCCUCGGGGUAGCAGAGAGCAAGGCAAAGUCUCCCCAGCUCCCAUGGAGCCCUCACCCCAUCUUCUCCAUAUGGGGCAAAGGUUGGCUCAGCAGCAGGGCCAGGGCCUUUGCGUUCCUGCUUGGGAUUUGAAGUCAGAAAGAGGAGGGGAAGGGGGCCUGUCCGUUCAGCCGGCACCUCUGCUCACCUGGAGUCCCACGGACCAGACUGAGGGGAGGCACUGAGGGUCUGCGCUGCUGCUCUCUAUGUGACCGCUGAGUCAUGGAGGAAAAAGGGACCUGAGGCAUGUGCCCUGCCCCCCGGGAACACUUGGCUAAAAACCACCUCACUGUGAUUUGCUGCACAGACUCGCCGCAGGGCACAGCACCCUCCAGAAAAACAGGUCACUGAAAAUAAUAUCAGGGGAGGAAGUCAAGAAGGCUGCUGUAUUCAUUCUGCUUUAAUGAGUAGAGGAGAAAUCUUUUGCCACAUUUGGAGAAAGGAUUGAAGAGAAAUGAGAGCCUGGAUGUGAAGAAAACAUUAGGAAGCUGCAGCAGUAACCUAUGUGAGAAAUUAAGAGAACCUAAAUCAGAUCCGUUGGCCAUCAAGAUUUCACUCAUUUUGAGACCUAGAGAUUGGUGCUCCUGGAGCUGUGAAAUGCGUGGCCUCUGUAGCCCUGUGAAGGUCUUGUUUCUAUGGCGAUACAAGAGAAAGUCUUUGCAGAGUUGUUGCAGCUGGAAGUCUUCACUUACUUUAAGAGCUCAUUAAAGCUAGUGGAGGUAAAGGGCAGGUGGAGAUCCUGAAAGUGCCUAGCAGAGGUUGAAACUUUAUAGCAAAGUUAAGAGUCAGUAG